GACGGAGGAUGCAAGUGUUAUCCGGAAUCACUGGGCGUAAAGCGUCUGUAGGUGGCUUAAUAAGUCAACUGUUAAAUCUUGAAGCUCAACUUCAAAAUCGCAGUCGAAACUAUUAGACUAGAGUAUAGUAGAGGUAAAGGGAAUUUCCAGUGGAGCGGUGAAAUGCGUAGAGAUUGGAAAGAACACCGAUGGCGAAGGCACUUUACUGGGCUAUUACUGACACUCAGAGACGAAAGCUAGGGUAGCAAAUGGG
rnacentral:rRNA from 1 species